rnacentral:rRNA from 1 species
CAGUCGCCACGGUAAUACGGAGGGUGCAAGCGUUAAUCGGAAUUACUGGGCGUAAAGCGCACGCAGGCGGUCUGUCAAGUCAGAUGUGAAAUCCCCGGGCUUAACCUGGGAACUGCAUUUGAAACUGGCAGGCUGGAGUCUUGUAGAGGGGGGUAGAAUUCCAGGUGUAGCGGUGAAAUGCGUAGAGAUCUGGAGGAAUACCGGUGGCGAAGGCGGCCCCCUGGACAAAGACUGACGCUCAGGUGCGAAAGCGUGGGGAGCAAACAGGAUUAGAUACCCCAGUAGUCCCUGUCUCUUAUAA